UGAUGGUAGUGGGAGUAAUAAUAAGAGUGAGAGAAAGAGUGGGUAUAUGAGAGAAGGAAGGACCGAACACUGAAGUAACAUGCUCAAUAACAAACUGAACGAACACACAUAUUUAGCCUUUUUAUGAGGGUAAUGUAAGCUAUCUAAAAAACU